GUAGGUGGCAAGCGUUGUCCGGAAUUAUUGGGCGUAAAGCGCGCGCAGGCGGUUCUUUAAGUCUGAUGUGAAAGCCCACGGCUCAACCGUGGAGGGUCAUUGGAAACUGGAGAACUUGAGUACAGAAGAGGAAAGCGGAAUUCCACGUGUAGCGGUGAAAUGCGUAGAGAUGUGGAGGAACACCAGUGGCGAAGGCGGCCUUCUGGUCUGUAACUGACGCUGAGGCGCGAAAGCGUGGGGAGCAAACAGGGAUUAGAUACCCUGGUAGUCCACGCCGUAAACGAUGAGUGCUAAGUGUUAGGGGGGUUUCCGCCCCCUUAGUGCUGCAGCUAACGCAUUAAGCACUCCGCCUGGGGAGUACGGCCGCAAGGCUG
rnacentral:rRNA from 1 species